rnacentral:rRNA from 1 species
CAGUUCGGAUUGUAGUCUGCAACCCGACUACAUGAAGCUGGAAUCGCUAGUAAUCGCGGAUCAGAAUGCCGCGGUGAAUACGUUCCCGGGUCUUGUACACACCGCCCGUCACACCAUGGGAGUCGGAAAUGCCCGAAGUCUGUGACCCAACCUUAGGGAGGGAGCAGCCGAAGGCAGGUCGGAUGACUGGGGUGAAGUCGUAACAAGGUAGC